CCUUAUGGUCCAAAUAUCCCAAAGGCACCAGAUCUCCUCUGAUUUUGGAAGGUAAGUAUCGUUAAGCCUAGUUAGUACUUUGAUGGAAGACUACCAAUGAAUAUCAGGUGCUGGAAGCU
rnacentral:rRNA from 1 species